rnacentral:rRNA from 1 species
CUACGGGUUGCUGCAGUCGAGAAUAUUCGGCAAUGGACGAAAGUCUGACCGAGCGACACCGCGUGCAGGAAGAAGGGUUUCGAUCUGUAAACUGCUUUUAUAAGGGAAAAAUUUUAUUAUGAUUGUACCUUAGGAAUAAGGGGUUGCUAACUACGUGCCAGCAGCAGCGGUAAUACGUAGGCCCCAAGUGUUAUCCGGAUUUAUUGGGCGUAAAGGGUGUGUAGGAGGUUAAGUGCGUCUUGUUUUAAAUUUCUGGGCUCAACCUAAAAAAUGAAUAAGAUACGGCUUUGACUAGAGAGCGUUAGAGGUGAGUAGAACAGCUGGUGUAGGGGUGGAAUCCGUUGAUAUCAGCUGGAAUACCAAAGGCGAAGGCAGCUCACUGGGGCGUUUCUGACUCUGAAACACGAAAGCAUGGGUAGCGAAGAGGAUUAGAUACCCCGGUAGUC